GUGUGCGUGUGCGUGUGUGCGCGCGGGCAUUUUCAGAGUCUACAUUUUUCUCCGAGUUUGACUACUCCAAGACUGGCUAUCCGCCUGGGGCAAAAGGAUGCGAACCUUACAAAAGGUGGAGUCUGGGUCGGCCAAAAAAUGUUGAAAGUUUGACUUGCUCUCUCCUACAAGCGGAAGAAAGCAAAUAAAAUCAGGUUCUGGGCUGGAGAAAGCUUCAGAUAAACUAGAGGCAAGAAGGGGAAAAAGCUCUGCAGGCUUUUCUUCAACUUGGCGGCGGCUGCUGCUGCUGCAGCCCCAGCCCCUCCCGGCACUCGCGCCUGAGCUCCCCGGCCGCUGUGCGGUACCCUGAAAAGCCCAGGCCAUGUGGGAUCUCAAAGGUCAUCUCCUCUCACCACCUCCACCCACUGGCCAUGAAGAGAAUGGAUCUGAGAUAAACUGAAGCCUCAGAGAGACAGGCCAGUGGGGUGGUGAUGUCUUCUCAGAAGAUCCACUGCCCUGCCCUUGGUUUGACUCUCACGCUGUGUCCUUUGCCUUCUGUCUCCUGUGCUCUCAGAUGAGGAAGCUUGAGACACAUAGAGGUUAACGGGUGAAGGAUCUUGCCCAAAGUCACCUGGCCGGCAAGAGCUGAGUCAAAUUGCUACCCAGGCCUGAAAGAAACAGAGAGGUGUGGUAUCUGACCCCCGA